CACGUAGGGGGCAAGCGUUGUCCGGAUUUAUUGGGCGUAAAGGGCUCGUAGGCGGCCAACUAAGUCAGACGUGAAAUCCCUCAGCUUAACUGGGGAACUGCGUCUGAUACUGGAUGGCUUGGAUUCGGGAGAGGAAUGCGGAAUUCCAGGUGUAGCGGUGAAAUGCGUAGAUAUCUGGAGGAACACCGGUGGCGAGGGCGGCAUUCUGGACCGAUAUUGACGCUGAGGAGCGAAAGCCAGGGGAGCAAACGGG
rnacentral:rRNA from 1 species